rnacentral:ncRNA from 1 species
CACUUCCUUGUCUUGGGGAGCAGAAAUGUCCAAUGAACGUCUAGUGAGGGCAUUGCUGCUGACACCAAUUACAUUUAUUCCCGUCUGCCAGGCCACUCACUGUGGCUGGUCUUCGGAAUUUUUGGCCAA